GUUUACUGGAGAGCUGCUUGGUUAGUUAAGUCCUGAAGGUGGGGGAUCUUGAAAUGGCUCCUUAGAAGCUGGGCCAGUUUUACUCCUCCUAAAUGGGUGGUAGAAUGUAGAUGAUUGAUAAAAGUUUCCCCAAGGGCUUGGGGCAUGAAGAUUCUGGAAUCAGGAAGAAUUCACCAACCUUCCUGAUUUUUACUGGCUUGAAGAUCCGAAGCUUGUUUUUCUUCCUCUGGGGAGUAUUCUGGGUAGUCUGCCCAGUCAGUUGUGGAAAGGACACAGAGGGCAGCAGGGUUAAAGGCACGACCAGGAGCUGAGCUGCCUCUCAAGCUGCAGAGUCUGCUCUUUGGUUACCACGAGCAAUGGCCAUGUCUUCUCUUUGAUGUCCUUUGCAGUGAAUUGCAGCCACCUGUUGAGGGAGCCAAACAGCUUCAAGCAGGGCUAAAAUUUCUUCUUUGUUGUUGACACUCUUUCCUGCUGAGGUAGGAAAUGCUGGGAAGAAAAAGCUGGGCCUUCUUGGCUGGGACCUGAUACCCGAAUUCCUGAAGGAGGUAAAGUAGGUCCGUAGUAUGUUGCAGGCAGCUGUCAGUAGUUUCAGUAGCCAAUAACAGGUCGUCUACAUACUGGAGAAGAGUGCAGUUAGGGUGACUGGCUCAGAAUGGUAAAAGAUCCUGUUGGAGGGCUUCCCUAAAAAGGGUGGGGGAAUUUUUAAAACUUCGGGGUAACCAAGUCCAGGUUAAUUGGGUGGUGUCUACCGAGCCAGGAUAUGUCUGUUCAAAAGCAAAGAUAGGUUGACUUUUGGGGCCAGAGGAAUAGCAAAAAAAAGCAUCCUUGAAGUCAAGGACAGUGUACACCAUAUGUUCUGGUGGGAGCAGGCUGAGUAAAGUAUAAGGGUUAGAGACAGUUGGAUGGACAGUGACUGUCUGCUUGUUACCUUCCUGCAAGUCCUGUACAGGCUGGUAAUCAUUUGUUCCGGGUUUCUGGACCGGCAAAAAUGGAAUAUUCCAGGCGAUCUCACAUGGUAUAUGGUCCCUCUCUUCAGAGGUGAAAAGGGAUGAAAGGAGUUGCUGACACUCAUCCCAGAGUGUCCAGAGUUUGCCUUUUUUAAGGCGGACCCCGUAAUCAUCUGAGAAGCCUAGAGAGAAAUUCUGCAACAUACACUGGAGAGGACUCCAAUCUUUAUGGGGCCGGGAAGAAGAGUUUACUAUUCUGGAGGCAAUUAACAAGGUUUGAACAAAAAUAUUAAACCCAGCAUGGACAAAGAUAUUCACGGCCUGGGAGGCUAUGGUAUCAGAAGAACAGAAGUAUUAUAGCUAGAAGAAGUAGGAAAACAACUAUAGCCAAUAUUUCUUGCCACAUAAGGUCUGUCUCCUCAAGCUUCGAGAUCUAUGGAGAGGAUAAGAGGAAAGGCAGGACUGGGAUGGCCAGCCCAACCGACUAAUGAGGAAUUUGACCUCCUGGGAUAGAAAAUCUGUACUAAGGACCUUGAAGAAGUCCUUGCCCAGUCAUUUUGGGCAGUAUCGACGAUCCGACAUAUGAAAUUUAGACAGACACUAAACAGGACAAUAGGCACUGGGGUAUAUAAACAAGCAUGGCAAUUUUUAUAGACAGACAAGGGGAGGGGGUCCCGUGAUGGGAUCAGUCAGAUGCCCUCCUGGCUGCUCCCCUUUCGGGGACUUAGGCUCCUCUUGGCAUUGGCAGGCUGGUAUAAACCCCUGGCUUGGAUCGAGCUAUGCCUGAUGCCGCCCUAAGCCUUAUGAGGUCACCACGGAACCACAGGUGAGGGCCUUCUCGAAUUCCCUAGCUUUCACCCUGGAGCUACAAACUGGAAAUUCAAGCGCAAGCCCUUGAACUCCACAUUCACUCACUCACUCACUCACUCAGAGUUUAUUACAAUUUUUAUACCCAUUCUAAAACAGAGAUCUCCCGGAGACCUGAAUGAGAGAGGGAGAAGAGAUAGAGAGAGAGAGAGACUAGACUUAACAGAGAAUCCUGACAGAAACCAGGACUCUGUCCUCCAGUGUCCUGGAGCAUGGACAGAGUCUGAGGGAGGACCUUCGUCAGGGCCGUUUCCCUCCCAGAGAGACAGAGUCAGAUCUGACUUACCUUCCCGGGACUAGAGACUGAGGACUCAGGAGUUGAAUUUGGCUGGGCGCACCGGCAGUCGAUCCGUUCCCCUCCAGAAGACAGUGGCCUGUGGAGCCCUGGAACGUCUUCAGGUGGCCCUGUAAGCCAGCUGUCUGUCUGGGGAAGCCCGGAAUGAGUCAGGUCUUCACCCGGUGGCGAAUCUCUCUGGGGCUUCCAAAUGUCGUAACCGAGCAAGUCAUAGAGAGAAUGCCACACUCUGAGACUAAUUCAGGAGUCCUUUAUUGCUGGCGACUGAGAAAGAGCUAGAGCUUGAAAUUCUCUCGGUCCGGAAGAAGAGGCUAGAGUUCUUUUUAUACCUUGGCCUAAAGAGGGGAGGGGGAGUCUAGCUGAAGCAAUUUUUUACAGAAGCAGAACAGGAAAAAAUUAAAAGAUAAAUGGUUACAGAAACAGUUACAGGAAAAUAAACAGUUCCAGGUGCAGGGGCUUAAAGUAUCCCAAAGUGAUAAAAGCAGGGGCUUUGGAUACCACCAACCAAGUGUGCUCCCAGGAGCUGCUGGUACAGCUUGCCUCAGUAUCUUAUCAAUAAGCGCAUUCUUGGAUGUGCUUGGAGUCAGCUUGCACCAGUUAUGUCCUUAAGGAGGGGGACAAGGGGCUGCAAGCGAAGAAACCAAGCUAAGACUCUCUCAGCUAUUGACUCUCUCGAUAUUGACUCUCAAUUGAGUCUCCCAAGCUAUUGACUCUCUCAGCUAAGAAAGAGUCAAUCAGGAUAAAACAAGAUAGGGUAUCACAAUUUGAUCUGCAAGAUUAUUUCCUGGACUUGUGAAAGGCGAGUCGUUUUGGUGCCCUGGGACAUGUACAAUAGCUAUCUCUUCUGGCAAUUGGAGAUUGUUGAGGACACGAGCAUCAGUUCUCUAUGAACUAAAUCUUGGCCUCUACUAUUGAUAAGAGCCCUCUCCAUCCAAAUUUUCCCAAAUGUGUGUGCCUCCCCAGAGGGAUACUUAGAGUCAGUAUAGAUAGAUUUUCUUGGUUUUGUAAAUGUCCUAAAGCUUGGCUGAGUGCAAACAGUUCACACCCUUGGACAGACCAAUUAUUAGACCCCCUUCCUGAUUUUACUUUUUUAACAGUCUUUCCAUUAAUCACUGAAUACCUAUUAUGUCUCUUUCUUUUAAUCACCUGGGAGGUUCCAUCUAUGAAUAAGUGCCACCCUGUCUUGAAGGGAGUUUUUCCUAAGUCUGGUUGAACUUUCGUAUGGUAAUUAAUUCGAUUUAAACACGCGUGCUCUCUCGUUUUACGUUUGGAUCCCCCGUUAAAGAGCCUGCUGAAUAAAGUGAAUUAUUAGUACUUAAUAUUAAAUCACCUUUUUCCCAGAAAGAUAGCCUCAUAUUUUAAAAUUUUUGAGUUGGUAAUCUCCCUCCUUGCGUUUUGAUUUAAUAUAGUUUUAACUUGGUGGGUUGUGGCCUGAAGCGGCUGGGGAGUAACUUGAAACCUCAGCUGAAGGGACAGCACAGGCUGGGGCGUGGCCUGAAACAGCUGGGGAGUAACCUGAAACCACAGCCGGAGGGACCUGAGAGGGGAACCAAAGGGGCAGGAUUGGGGGCGCUGAAGGAAGGAAGGUGAUUUAGAGGAUCCCAUGUCUUGGUAGGUAUGGGUUGUCUAGGCAUGGGAACUCUUUCCUUUUUAGAAAGGUUGGUUUCUGAUUUUCUCCCUCCAGAGUCUAAAGGGUAAAGGAGAACUGGUCCCUGCCGCCAGCAGAGGGCGUAAUCGAUUUUUCCUGGGACACAGGGCUCUUACUGUUAACAUAUUUGAUUAACAGCUGACAAAUUCGCUCUUCAUUAGACUUAAAUUUUGGCCAGAAAAGUGAGGGCUUAAGGAUGGGUUCUCGAACUUAAAUAAAACAACAAUAUUCUAUCAUCUGCUGUUUUUGUUUAUACUUGGUUCUCUUAUUAUUUUUUCAAUACUUUAGCAUAAGCCCCAAGGGGCUAUCAGAAGGAAAUUCAUCACUCUCUAGACUCUUUAGUUUUCCUGUCUUACUUGAAACGUUCCCCAUCUUAGGGAUUAUGGGGAGGAGGCCCAACCCCUCCUGUGAGAUUUCUACCCUCCCCCUUCCUGGAGGCUUACUGAGGCUUUGGGGAAAGGCUCCAACCCAACCUGUUUGGAUUUCUACCCUCCCCCUUCCUCUUUGUCUACUCUGUCUGUUCCUGACUCUAGUUGACAGAUGGCAGCAUGAGGCCAUAGAGAAGACUCACUCACUCCACAUAACCACCAUACUAAGUCCCAUUCAUACACUGUCAGCCUCCAGCUUAUCCCAACCACCUGGGAAAUACUUUGUCACCUUCGCCAAGUCUCCUACCUUAUUCCAUGCACAAGAAUUUCCUGGUCCUCUUAUUGUUGCGGUCUUGCAAGCUUCUCCUCCCCGCUUUGCUGAGAUCCAGACUUAUUUGUCACAAAGCGGGGGGGGGGCCCUGAUCUCCCUCAACCUAGGGGCACGGUAACUAGACAGUAGGAUGCGUCCCCUCCGGGUGGGGUGACCGAAGGCCCCCUUCCCAAAGGAGAAGAUUCGAGCCCCAAAGUUGGGCUCCAGAACUGUUAGGAAUAACGCUCAAAAUCUUAAGGAAAUUGAACACUUGAACAAAGGAUUCUUAGCAAAGCAAUUUUACUUCUGCGCAGAGAGGUGCCUCCUUGUCCAGUCGCCAUGAGAGCACACCUGAAAAAGGGGCACGAGAGCCUUUACUCCUGACACAAGUACUGCCCCUGUACCCUUUCUCCAUUGGCCAGGGUCAGGUCGUACAAUCUAAACUAAUCCUGGUUGGCUAAACAUUGGAUUUUUUUUAGAUAAGGUGGGCACGUAAAAAAGGCAGAGAAUAAAGGGGAAGGGGUGUCUGUAAUGAGCUAAAAAGUUAGUCCUCUUUCCAAAUAAGGAAAGGAAUGUGAGCAGGUACAGAUACCACCUGGUACUGUGGCAUGCCUGGGCAUGUAACAAAGGAAAAAAGAGAAAAAAGGAGAAAAAGGAAAAAAGGUGGAGGGAUUACUAUGAAUUAAAGAAUAAAAGAUUGAUCAGGUUAUCUGAAGAGAAACCUCAUCAUAUCCCACACAUCCAUCCAUCCAUCCAUCCAUCCAUCAUUCAUCCAUCCAUCCAUCCAUCCAUCCAUCCAUCAUUCAUCCAUCCCCAAUCCAUGUAUCCUUCCACCCAUCCCUCCUUCCAUUUGUCUUUCUAUCCAUCCUUCCUUCUUUCCAUGUUUCCAACCAUCCAUCCAUGCCUCCGUCCCUCCACCCAUCCAUUCGUCCAUCCAUUGUUCCAUCCAUUCCAUCUAUCUAUUUAUUCACCAGAUAUUAUUGAGGCGGGGAAUACAAUAAUUAACAGAACUCAAAAAUCCCUUCUCUCAUAGAGCUUACAUGCUAGUGGGUAGAAACAGGGUAAGCAAGCAAACAGCAAAUAUAUAAAAUACAUGACAUAUUGAUAAACAAAUGCUAUGGAGAAGAAGAAAACACUUAGAAGGGCAAGAAGAAAUAUCAGAGGAGGUAGGUUAAUUUUAAAUAGGGUGAUGAAGAAAGUCCUCUCUGAAAAGACGAUAAAUCGGCAAGGAAAUUAAAAAUACAAGUCAGAGAAUUAUUCUAAUAUCUGAGGGCAGAGCAUCCCAGGCAGUGAGAAUACCAAGGGCAAGAGCCCUGAGGCACAAGUACCUCUCUUGCGUAAUUUUUUAGUAACGGUCAAGGUCCUCUUGGUCCUCACCAACUCUCCCUAACUUAUCUGGGGGCUGAUAUUUUUGAACCAACAAAAGUGCUGGAAGGCAACACUGUAAGAUUUUAAGGGUGCAAAACUUUCAUGAAAUGUCUGGGAAAAUGCUGACAACAAAUGAGGAAAAACAAAUGAAUUAGGUAGAAUUUAAAAUUAAAUGUAAUCAAAUUCCACUGCAUUGUACAUUCAGAAUACGUAUUUUCUAAAAUCGAAAGGCUUGUUAAAUGAGAAUAAUUUCAAGUAAAAGUGUCUCUUUCAUUUGGUUUUCCCAGUGGAUGUAUAAAAUAACUAAUUGAGCUAAAUCUGUUAUUUUUUAAAUCCUUAAUGCCUCUCUAGAAUGUAAAAGUUCAUUUCCUAUUGUGGAAAUUUUGAAAAUUAUGUAAAAGAAUAACAAAAAUAAACUUGUUGCCAAACAACAUAGAAAAAAACCCUCUUAAUAUUCAAAUCUUUCUAGAUAGAUUUUCUUUUAUUUCUAAGUUUUGCUGGUUUGAUAGUGUAUAAAGCUUAUUUUAAUUUGCAUUUUUAUUACUAGUCUGUACAAUUUUUCAUGUCAUUUAAUGGUCAAUUUUAUGUAAAAACUUUCUUUGUGGCAUCUGAGAUUUUUCUUAUUUAUAUGAAUAAACUCUUUUGAUUAUAAGAAAAUUGCCAAA
rnacentral:lncRNA from 10 species